AACUUGUAAAAAUUUUAGAUUUCUUAAGUUUCUCUCUCGGUCUCUCUAGGCUUCAAACAGUGGCCCUAAAACACCUUAGGGUUCUUGAGUAUUAUCCCCCUUUUCAAGUAAAAGUUUGAAGGAGAGUUUUAGUUCUUAAAGUACGAGUUUAGAGGAUAAAUUUUCAGAAACUAAGGAGGGAACUUGGUUAUCUUGGCAAAGGAUGUGGGAAGUUAUAUUAAUGAAUAGAAGAGGGGUGUGAUGGUUCACCAUUUGUGUAAAGAUUAGCACCCAAAAAGGAAGGUUGAAUCGUGGUAGUUGAAUUGGUCAGAAAAUAAGGUAUGUAAGAUUAUUCGAUUCACUAUUCUUCGGCAUGAAAUCUAGUACUUGCGAUUAAUAUCGAUAAGUGAAUUUCCUAAGUUCUAUUCCUAGUAAAGGAAACAUAGUAGCAUCGUACGAUCUCUCGAUACCUAGUGAUAUUUCCCCCUCUCCUUAGUGUAUAGAAUUACUUCAUUUUAUGUUUACUACUAUACACUUGUGUAAUUAUCCUCCCAUGUGGUGGUAUAGAAAUAGUAUUUGCAAAAGCAAGUUUGGUGAAUCCUCCUCUUAGUCAGUUGUAGUCAAUUGUUUCAUUUAAGCUCACAAGUAAUGUGUCGAUGUUACAUAGCUCCUUAUGUCAAUGUUCCUGCCUUGAAGUAUUAUUGUCAUGUCUUCUACUACUAGUUCGUAUUUCCAAAUCUCAAAAAUUAUUCUGACCACCAAAACAACAAUCUCAAAAGAGUUAUAAUAAUUAUCCAAAAAACAAUCUCAAAAAAGUUAUGAACUGAUACACAACAAUCUUAAAGAUUAAAGAACCUAAGUGAAGCAAUAUGUAUAAUUACGGGUGGCAGCCCAGGGGGUAGGGAAAAUUCCUAGCAUGGGUCGAUCCUAAUUGUUAUAUAAGGGUGUCAACUCAGGGGCGAAAGCCUAGCAUGGACCGAUCUCUAUUGGUAUCAAAAGGUGGCAGAUCAUGGGCGAAAGCUUAGCAUGGGCCGAUCCCAAUUUGUGUAAUUAUGAGGACCUCAUCCCAUGGGUUAAAAGCCUAGCAUGGGUCAUACGAUUCUACCACUGAUUAGUUGGUCAUUUGUAUCACAUGCCUUGUAAAGAUCAGAAUACACAAAAAGGUAAAAGACAAGAAUGUAACAUACAUGAUCCCACAAGAGUUAACAAAGGUGGUAUUUAUAUUCUAAUUUAUGCACACAUAUAUUGAUACUUGGUUUCAUUCGUACUCUUAUUCUAUAUAUGUUAUUGCCUUACAUAUUCAGUAUAUUUUUUUGUACUCCGCUGCAUUUCAUGCUGCAGGAAAGGUACUCCAGCCAGUAGACCUCCUCAUUAGGAGUACACGAUACUUAACUACUUUUGGUGAGAUCCAAGUUGAUUCAGAGCUUUACUGAGUCCUUGGUAGAUUCAUUUUGGUAUUGUAUCAUAGUUAAGGGUAACGCAGGGUCUGUCCCGACCUACUUUGAGGUUUCUAUCUUCUAGAGGAUUUGUAGACUUAUGUAUAUGGUUCAGUUGGUUCUUAACAAGUUGUGGCCUCAACAGCCAAGUCUUGUAUAUAACUUUUGGGUCUACUUAUGUUGGUUUUUA